rnacentral:rRNA from 1 species
UGGGGAAUUUUGGACAAUGGGCGAAAGCCUGAUCCAGCAAUGCCGCGUGUGUGAAGAAGGCCUUCGGGUUGUAAAGCACUUUUGUCCGGAAAGAAAUGGCUCUGGUUAAUACCUGGGGUCGAUGACGGUACCGGAAGAAUAAGGACCGGCUAACUACGUGCCAGCAGCCGCGGUAAUACGUAUGGUCCAAGCGUUAAUCGGAAUUACUGGGCGUAAAGCGUGCGCAGGCGGUUGUGCAAGACCGAUGUGAAAUCCCCGAGCUUAACUUGGGAAUUGCAUUGGUGACUGCACGGCUAGAGUGUGUCAGAGGGGGGUAGAAUUCCACGUGUAGCAGUGAAAUGCGUAGAGAUGUGGAGGAAUACCGAUAGCGAAGGCAGCCCCCUGGGAUAACACUGACGCUCAUGCACGAAAGCGUGGGGAGCAAACAGG